rnacentral:rRNA from 1 species
UAUUGCUCAAUGGGGGAAACCCUGAAGCAGCAACGCCGCGUGGAGGAUGAAGGUUUUAGGAUUGUAAACUCCUUUUGUUAGAGAAGAUAAUGACGGUAUCUAACGAAUAAGCACCGGCUAACUCCGUGCCAGCAGCCGCGGUAAUACGGAGGGUGCAAGCGUUACUCGGAAUCACUGGGCGUAAAGAGCGCGUAGGCGGGAUAGUCAGUCAGGUGUGAAAUCCUAUGGCUUAACCAUAGAACUGCAUUUGAAACUACUAUUCUAGAGUGUGGGAGAGGUAGGUAGAAUUCUUGGUGUAGGGGUAAAAUCCGUAGAGAUCAAGAGGAAUACUCAUUGCGAAGGCGACCUGCUGGAACAUUACUGACGCUGAUGCGCG